rnacentral:lncRNA from 1 species
UCCCCUCUCUCCUCCUCCUUCCCCUGUCCCUUUCCCUCCCACCGCCGUUUCCUCCCCCCGCUUCGCUUUCCGGGGUGUUUCGCCUGCGCAAACCUGCGGCCAAAUGAGAUUUUCCUCCUCCCCCGGUUCCUCUUUCUGCCCUUUGUGUGACGUCGCCGGUGUCACCGCGGGACCGGCCGGGUUCCGUGCUGGCUGCCGCACCGGCGGCCACAUCCCGUGGUGGCAGUGACCCCCGGGGGAGCCCCGGCUCGGGGUGGGACCGGCCCCGCUGCCCCGGCAGCUCCGGGCCCCUGUGCUGAGUCAGCUCCAAACUUCCCAGUGGAGCAGUUCUGUGACAUGGAGCAGCUUUGGUGACACCGAGCAGCUCUGGUGACACUGGGUUGUUUUGGUGACACCAAGCAGCUUUGGUGACAAGGAGCAGCCUCUGCUCCCUUGUGGAACGGCACCAUGUUUGUGCCUGCUGGCAGGCCUGGUGUGUCCCAGUGUGUCCCAGUGCAUCCCAGUGUGUGCUGGUAUGUCCCAGUUCAUCCCAGUGUGUCCCAGUGCAUCCCAGUGUGUCCUGGUGUGUUCUGGUGUGUCCCAGUGCAUCCCGGUGCAUCCUGGUGUGUCCUGGUGCAUCUCAGUGUGUCCCAGCAUGUCCCGGUGUGUCCCAGUGUGUCCUGGUGUGUCCCAAUGCGUCCCAGUGUGUCCUGGUGCAUCCCAGUGCAUCCUGGUGUGUCCUGGCACAUCCUGGUGUGUUCCGGUGUGUCCCGGUGUGUCCUGGUGCAUCCUGGUGUGUUCUGGUGCAUUCUGCUGUGUUCUGCUGUGUUCUGGUGCAUCCCGGUGUGUCCCGGUGUGUCCUAGUGUGUCCUGGUGGAUCCUGCUGUGUCCCGGUGCAUCCCAGCGCAUCCUGGUGCGUCCCAGUGUAUCCCAGUGCGUCCCAGUGUGUGCCGGUGCAUCCCAGUGAUCCUGGUGCAUCCUGGUGUCCCAGUGCAUCCCAGUGUGCCCCAAUGACCGUGGCUGGCUGUGUCCCUGCAAUCUGGUGGCAGCCACCGCUGUACCCGCAGUCCCCAUGCCGUGCCACACUGUGCCACCCCGCGCCGUGCCGUGCUGUGCCAUGGCAGCCACUCUCAGAGCCUCAGGCAGUGGAUUUCAUGCAGGAAGUUUUACUUUGGCCCAUCCCAGUUCUCUUUUGGCCCAUACCCGUUCUAUUUUGGCCCAUCCCAGUUUUGUUUUGGCCCAUCCCAGUUUUGUUUUGGCCCAUCCCAGUUGUAUUUUGGCACAGCCCUUCCCGCAGCAGGGCGCGGUGCCCCGGGGCAGCGCGUGGGCCGGCAGGUGCCACGGGAGCGUGCCAGGCACGCGUGUGCCACGGCAUGGCACGGCACGGUGCGGGUGUGCUGGGGUGCCUCCGGGGCACGGGAUGGGGUUGGGGUUGGGUUUGGGUUUGGUGGGAUGGCUCCAGGGCCUGGCAGGGUUUGGGGUUGGUGGUUUGGCUUCAGGCCCUGGGAUGGUUUUGGGUUUGGGUUUNNNNNNNNNNNNNNNNNNNNNNNNNNNNNNNN